rnacentral:rRNA from 1 species
UACGAAGGGGGCUAGCGUUGCUCGGAAUCACUGGGCGUAAAGGGUGCGUAGGCGGGUCUUUAAGUCAGGGGUGAAAUCCUGGAGCUCAACUCCAGAACUGCCUUUGAUACUGAGAAUCUUGAGUUCGGGAGAGGUGAGUGGAACUGCGAGUGUAGAGGUGAAAUUCGUAGAUAUUCGCAAGAACACCAGUGGCGAAGGCGGCUCACUGGCCCGAUACUGACGCUGAGGCACGAAAGCGUGGGGAGCAAACAGGG